GAAUGAAGCCGUGGAUCCUCGUGCAUUGGUUACAUGAAAACCGUGUGACAACCUUGGAAGUCUGAAAGAGCAGGAGAGAGGCUAAGCACACACAUAUUGUGAUUUUAAGAGUCUCAAGGGCUGACACAAGCUGAGAUGAGGAAAUAUGACCUCCUACACGUGUUUUCCAUGAGGAAUAUGUUUGCUGUGCAGUCACUGAGUUAAAAGCAACCUUCAUUCCCUUGUGCACCAAGGUAGUGCCUCUCCAGAGCUGUAGAUGUCUUCCCAGGAUAUUCCAUCAUUCUACACAGCAUUUAAUUCUUGGAGCUCACAGUCCAAGACUGUUAUCAGUCCAUUUUCACUCUAUUGAUCAAGACAUACUCAAGACUGGGUAAUUUAUAAAGAAAAUGAAUGGACUCACAGUUUCACGUUGCUGGGGAGGCCUCACAGUCCAGGCAAUCACAGUCUUACAUGGCAGCAAGCAAGAGCGAAUGAGAACCAAGCAAAAGGGAAACUCAUUAUAAAACCAUCAGCUAUUGUGAGACUUCUUCACUACCACAAGAAUAGUAUGGGGUAAACCUCCCCCAUGAUUCAAUUAUCUCCCACCAGGUUCCUCCCAGAGCACGUGGGAAUUAUGGGAGCUACAAUUCAAGAUGAGAUUUGGGUAGGUACACAGCCAAACUAUAUCAGUGACUCAUCUAGAAUUUUAUUCAUAUAGGUUUAAACAAUGGUUAACAUGUACAGUUAUAAGAUCAUUCUCAUUUACAAAUUUAAUGUUUA
rnacentral:lncRNA from 10 species